UACGUAGGGGGCAAGCGUUGUCCGGAUUUAUUGGGCGUAAAGAGCGCGCAGGCGGUCGUUCAAGUCGCGUGUGAAAGCCCCCGGCUCAACUGGGGAGGGUCACGCGAUACUGAUCGACUCGAAGGCAGGAGAGGGAAGUGGAAUUCCCGGUGUAGUGGUGAAAUGCGCAGAUAUCAGGAGGAACACCAAUGGCGAAGGCAGCACUCUGGGACGGUACUGACGCUGAGACGCGAAAGCGUGGGGAGCAAACAGG
rnacentral:rRNA from 1 species